UAAUCCUGGAAUGGAGCACUGAAGAAAGCAAUGGGUGCCAAUGGUAAUAAGAAUGUGUCUAUCAGAACUACUUAUUAACACAGACAGUAGAUGAGGAUGAUGAUAUUGAGGAUGGUUAGUGUCAAGCAUAAGACUGACAAAUAAGUGAACAGGCACAAGGCAUGCUGUGUGUGAUUGACAGAUGGAGGUGUUCUACAUCUAGUUCUACAGAGGUGUUCUACAUCUAGUUCUACAGAGGUGUUCUACAUCUAGUUAUACAUCUAGUUCUACAGAGGUGUUCUACAUCUAGUUCUACAGAGGUGUUCUACAUCUAGUUCUACAGAGGUGUUCUACA